rnacentral:rRNA from 1 species
AGUGAACGCUGGCGGUAGGCCUAACACAUGCAAGUCGAACGGCAGCACAGUAAGAGCUUGCUCUUACGGGUGGCGAGUGGCGGACGGGUGAGGAAUACAUCGGAAUCUACUUUUUCGUGGGGGAUAACGUAGGGAAACUUACGCUAAUACCGCAUACGACCUACGGGUGAAAGCAGGGGAUCUUCGGACCUUGCGCGAUUGAAUGAGCCGAUGUCGGAUUAGCUAGUUGGCGGGGUAAAGGCCCACCAAGGCGACGAUCCGUAGCUGGUCUGAGAGGAGGAUGAGGCACACUGGAAAUGAGACACGGUCCAGACUCCUACGGGAGGCAGAAGUGGGGAAGAUUGGACAAUGGGCGCAAGCCUGAUCCAGCCAUGCCGCGUGUGUGAAGAAGGUCUUCGGAUUGUAAAGCACUUUAAGUUGGGAAGAAGAGCAGUAAGUUAAUACCUUGCUGUUUUGACGUGACCAAAAGAAUAAGCACCGGCUAACUUCGUG